rnacentral:misc_RNA from 1 species
UUUCCGUAGGUGAACCUGCGGAAGGAUCAUUACAGAGUAAUUGGUUGAAAGACCGACUACCCGUCCUUGUGUCAUAUGAAUUUGAAUAUACUUCCCAGGAGGUGUUGCAGCGAUGCGACCGCCUGGGGUUUUUUUACAAACUCUUGCAAGAAUCUGAAGUCUGAUACAACAAACAUAAUGAAAAGCAAAACUUUCAACAACGGAUCUCUUGGCUCUGGCAUCGAUGAAGAACGCAGC